CCUAGGGGGGCAGCAGUGGGGAAUAUUGCACAAUGGGGGAAACCCUGAUGCAGCGACGCCGCGUGAGUGAAGAAGUAAUUCGUUAUGUAAAGCUCUAUCAGCAGGGAAGAAAAUGACGGUACCUGAGUAAGAAGCCCCGGCUAACUACGUGCCAGCAGCCGCGGUAAUACGUAGGGGGCAAGCGUUAUCCGGAUUUACUGGGUGUAAAGGGAGCGUAGACGGCAGUGCAAGUCUGGAGUGAAAGGCGGGGGCUCAACCCCCGGACUGCUCUGGAAACUGUACGGCUGGAGUGCAGGAGAGGUAAGUGGAAUUCCUAGUGUAGCGGUGAAAUGCGUAGAUAUUAGGAGGAACACCGAUUGCGAAGGCAGCUUACCAAACUAUAUCUGACGUUGAGGCACGAAAGCGUGGGUAGCAAACAGGAUUAGAUACCCGAGUAGUC
rnacentral:rRNA from 1 species